CUAUGACAUAGCCUUGUACUGUCUGGAGAACCCAGGUGACUUUGGUAGUCGUCUCCCAAUUCUGUAAAACAGAGACAGGUUGCCGGUCAUAAUAUUGGAAACAGUUAUGUAGGUUGACACACUAGUAGAUAAAGCGGAUGGGUUCCUCUGUGUAGUAGAUGGGAGAAAUAUGAGGACUGUGUAUACGAUCUGGAACCUGUCGCCCAG